UACGGAGGGUGCAAACGUUGCUCGGAAUCAUUGGGCGUAAAGCGCACGUAGGCGGCCCAGCAAGUCGGGUGUGAAAGCCCUCGGCUUAACCGAGGAAGUGCAUUCGAAACUACUGAGCUUGAAUACUGGAGAGGAACGCGGAAUUCCCGGUGUAGAGGUGAAAUUCGUAGAUAUCGGGAGGAACACCAGUGGCGAAGGCGGCGAUCUGGACAGAUAUUGACGCUGAGGUGCGAAAGCGUGGGGAGCAAACAGG
rnacentral:rRNA from 1 species